AUGUUGUGUGAAAGAAGGAGAAAAGGUUCGCACUCCCCUUCAUAAGGGUGGAAGAGGCCCCAGUGGCCAGUACAACACACAUGCAACUAAGGCACUGCCACCUACUUCAUGGCAUCUGACCACGUUUUUGC